UACAGAGGAGCCAAGCGUUGUUCGGAAUCACUGGGCGUAAAGGGUGCGUAGGCCGCACGGUAAGUCAGAUGUGAAAGCCCGGAGCUCAACUCCGGAACUGCAUCCGAUACUGCCGUGCUUGAGGACUGGAGAGGAGUCUGGAAUUCACAGUGGAGCAGUGAAAUGCGUAGAUAUUGGGUGGAACACCGGUGGCGAAAGCGGCUCUCUGGUCCGGUCCUGACGCUGAGGCGCGAAAGCGUGGGGAGCAAACAGG
rnacentral:rRNA from 1 species